CUCGGGGGUGCUAUCAUUGACGGUGCUUAUUUCAUGAUGCUAUUAUUGAACUUUCCCAGAAACAGGUAUUUCUUGAAGUUAUCAUCCUUUUGCCCCAAUAUUUUUAAAGUUAAUUCUGUUCAUUUUAGGUAUAAAUGCUCGAAAUAUGUCUAGAAAAAUAUUAAUGUUGAUGACUUGAGUAGUUGCUGAUGCUAAUGAUAAGAUAAAGGAUUCAUUAAUUUCGGUUGCCAAAAGCUCUUGGACUUUUAAAAGCGUGCGCUACGGGGUCAACCUAUCUACAAAUUAAGUUGUAGUCUCGACUACUUUGGUCGACUUUUGUAUUCUAGUGUACACGGAGGAAUUUAGGACGUUGUUAGUGUAGCUUUAUUAAAAUUUCCUUUUUUAAUCUGUUUUAGUAAGAUGAUUUUUAUUUUCAAAGUAUUCAACAUGCUUCUAUUUCCUCAUCGUUUUACAUGUUAAAGUUCUAAACAUUUAUAUAGGCUCUUUGCAAAUACGUGAAUGACACAAACCCCAUAACCGGAGCAAGCACCAGAAAGCGCCUGGGAUGUGGGAAUAGUCAAAGAAAUGCAUAUGGCUCCCCGUCAUCCCCUUUAUUAAGUGCUCUACCGAGGAAACUUCUUGACGAUGAUGUAUUCUGUGAUCAAGCCACUGGCCUUUGUGAUGCAAAGUGAUUGUUCAAAUCACAUCAAUGUAGAUAAAUAUCUUGUAAUAGAAAAAGAAAUCAUUGCUGUCUAUUAGGCGGUCGUUUUUAUUUGAAGUGAAUACUACAUGGUAG
rnacentral:lncRNA from 1 species